CUACGGGGGGCUCCAGUGGGGAAUAUUGCACAAUGGGGGAAACCCUGAUGCAGCGACGCCGCGUGCGGGAAGAAGGCCUUCGGGUUGUAAACCGCUUUCAAUUGGGAAGAAGAGAUGAGAGUUAAUAGCUCUCUGAUUUGACGGUACCUUUAGAAGAAGCACCGGCUAAUUUCGUGCCAGCAGCCGCGGUAAUACGAAAGGUGCAAGCGUUGUUCGGAUUUACUGGGCGUAAAGAGAUCGUAGGUGGUUUGUUAAGUCGGAUGUGAAAUCCCGGGGCUCAACCUCGGAACUGCAUUCGAUACUGGCAGACUAGAGUUCGGGAGGGGGAAGCGGAAUUCCGUGUGUAGCAGUGAAAUGCGUAGAUAUACGGAGGAACACCUGAGGCGAAGGCGGCUUACUGGACCGAUACUGACACUGAGGAUCGAAAGUGUGGGUAGCAAACAGGAUUAGAUACCCCGGUAGUC
rnacentral:rRNA from 1 species